UAGCUGUGCAUGGCCUAUCCUCUGGAAUCAUGUUUAACCUAAAAUUCACUUAUGCACUAAAGUACCUCAUGCAUUGACUUCAUAUGUUUUAUUCCUUUGGUUUGGAACUUUGGAUUAGAGUUUAUGUUUAAGGAGUACUUUAAUGCUUUUUAGCUGUAGAACUUAUAUUUUCAUCAUUGACUUUUUUUAUUUUUUAAAGUCUUUAUGUUGUACAUUUUUCUUAUGUAAUCAAUAAAGUGGGCUGUCAAAGUAAGGAAUCAUGGCACAGAUGUUUGGAAUAGAUUCCAUUUUGAGAUAAUUGAAAAAGUACUAUCUCUGUUGAAAGGUUAUAUACCUUUCUCAAUGCAUUUCUUUAAACAAAGACACAUUAGUAGCUAGGAAGUGCUAAAGCUGAGUCUUCAGUUGCUCUUUUAUUUGCACCAAGCCAGAAUUGAUAUUGAUAUAAUUGAAUAAUUUUUGAGCUGAGUCUUAGAGAUUUCCUGAAAAAAUUGGUUAUACUUCAUGAUAAGGGGCUAUAUGGUCGUGGCUCCUAUCUGAGUGAUUAAUAGCAUAUAGCAGGAAACCAAUUGGUAGUGAUCGCACUCAUCACAGGCUGUUGUAGGGGUAAGUUAAUAAAUUAUAGAAUUGGUAUAUGCAUUAUAGCAUAACAUUCUGUGACUUCAAUCAUCUAACGCCGUCAACAAUCUUUAGAUUAAUGGCUGAAAUUCAAUGCCACAAGAUCUGAGCUAUGUUUUGGACUUGGGUUGUUUUGAAAAUAUGAGGUUUUCUCAGUAAUUCUAGGAAAGAUGUCCUCUAUGUGGUAAUUAGGCACUAGAGGUGCAUAGGACAUUUGAUUUUAUGUUUAGCAGUUGUAUUGGCAAUCCAUCAGCAAUGCAAUUUUGAACUUGCUAAUCUUGUUUCAUUAUCAACUUCCGGCCCCUCAAAAAAAGGUAAAUAAAUAAGAGAGAGAAUCCAUUAUGCUUAUGGAGUAUUGGUUGGUGCUUAUCGUGAAACAAAUCGUUCAUUGAUGUCUUGUUAUCAAGAGAUAGGUGUUUGGACUUUAGUUAUAUCCUUAUUGGUAUCAUUCGUCAUUCGCGGGACAUCUUGUUCGAAGUUGGUAAUGCGUGAGUUUUGUAUGCUAAGGCCAUAUGUUGGUAUUCUGCUUGCACGAAUUGCUCCAUUAUAAAAUAUUUAGUGCAAGUUGAUUCCAUUAUUCAUUACUGGUACUGUGAAUUUGUGAGGCUUGUCACAUGUGCCAUUGGAUUAUGAGUUGAUUUCUGUGCUUGGGUAGAUCUGGGAUACCGCUGGCCAGGAAAGAUUCCAAAGC
rnacentral:misc_RNA from 1 species